GUCAUAUGCUGUYUCAAAGAUAAGCCAUGCAUGUYUCAGUACAAGCCAAAUUAAGGUGAAACCGCGAAAGGCUCAUUAAAUCAGUUAUGGUUCCUUAGAUCGUACCCACAAUUACUUGGAUAACUGUGGUAAUUCUAGAGCUAAUACAUGCAAACAGAGCUCCGACCGGAGACGGAAGGAGUGCUUUUAUUAGAUCAAAACCAAUCGGUGGCGGRUUCGCUCGUCAUUGUACAACUUGGUGGCUYUGAAUAACUUUACGCUGAUCGCACGGUCCUCGCACCGGCGACGCAUCUUUCAAAUGUCUGCCUUAUCAACUGUCGAUGGUAGGUUCUGCGCCUACCAUGGUUGUAACGGGUAACGGGGAAUCAGGGUUCGAUUCCGGAGAGGGAGCCUGAGAAACGGCUACCACAUCCAAGGAAGGCAGCAGGCGCGCAAAUUACCCACUCCCGGCACGGGGAGGUAGUGACGAAAAAUAACGAUACGGGACUCAUCCGAGGCCCCGUAAUCGGAAUGAGUACACUCUAAACCCUUUAACGAGGAUCAAUUGGAGGGCAAGUCUGGUGCCAGCAGCCGCGGUAAUUCCAGCUCCAAUAGCGUAUAUUAAAGUUGUUGCGGUUAAAAAGCUCGUAGUCGAAUUUGUGUCUCGCGCCGCCGGUUCAUCGUCCGCGGUGUUAACUGGCGAGUCGCGAGACGUCCUGCCGGUGGGCUUAGCCCGCGAGGGCGGCCCAACUCAAUCCUGCCGCGUUGCUCUUCAUUGAGUGUCGAGGUGGGCCGGCACGUUUACUUUGAACAAAUUAGAGUGCUUAAAGCAGGCUAAAACUUCGCCUGAAUACUGUGUGCAUGAAAUAAUGGAAUAGGACCUCGGUUCUAUUUUGUUGGUUUUCGGAACCCCGAGGUAAUGAUUAAUAGGAACGGAUGGGGGCAUUCGUAUUGCGACGUUAGAGGUGAAAUUCUUGGAUCGUCGC
rnacentral:rRNA from 1 species